rnacentral:rRNA from 1 species
AUUGAACGCUGGCGGCGUGCCUAACACAUGCAAGUCGAGCGGUAACAGGUGUAGCAAUACAUGCUGACGAGCGGCGAACGGGUGAGUAAUGCUUCGGAAUCUACCCAAUGGUGGGGAAUAACCAGCCGAAAGGUUGGCUAAUACCGCAUACGUCCCACGGGAGAAAGCAGGGGAUCGCAAGACCUUGCGCCAAUGGAUGAGCCGAAGUCGGAUUAGCUAGUUGGAGGGUAACGGCCUACCAAGGCGACGAUCCGUAGCUGGUCUGAGAGGACGACCAGCCACACUGGGACUGAGACACGGCCCAGACUCCUACGGGAGGCAGCAGUGGGGAAUAUUGGACAAUGGGGGAAACCCUGAUCCAGCGACGCCGCGUGUGUGAAGAAGGCCUGCGGGGUUGUAAAGCACUUUUAGUGGGGAUGAAAUGUUCAGGUUAACACCUCUGGNUUUUGACCUAACCCACAGAAAAGCACCGGCUAACUCUGUGCCAGCCGCCGCGGUAAU